UAGAGGAAGAAAAGGUCAGCAUCAUAACCAUAUCACGCAUCAAAGAUCCAAGAAAGGAGUUUUGCCAGUAUAAAGUUGGGGAUUUGGUGAAAGCCAGCUGCCAUGGCUUUUCUGGCGUGCAUCCCGCCAAGAUCUUAGAUGAUGGAGCUGAUGCCUGGUAGUGGGAUCUACAUUUAUCCCAAAGAUAUACAAGCUUUAUAUAAGCCAAAAAAAAACCCAACAAGUGGAACUUUUCAGGAAGGGGAACCUAACUGGUGCAAAUGAAAAGACCAUUUUAAACACUAUUCCUGACGAUGCCGGGAUUCAGAGGCCAUUGUCAAGUUUUCGAUGAGGACCAAGAUUAGUUCCCAAGUCAGCCUCCAGAACAUGAAACAGACCUAGCUUUUAUACAUUCAGUAAUGUGAGAUAUAUAUAUAUAUAUAUAUAUAUAUAUAUAUAUAUAUAUAUAUAUAUGGGAUUCCCUUCAUAAGGGAUUGUCCAAUUUUUAAUGUGAUAAUAUGUACAAAGAGUUAGUGAUGAAUAUUUUAUUUAUAUUUUUGUGCCAAACUUUAUAAAUGAUUGAUUGUUUGAUGUUUUCCGCCACGCUCAACAAUUUUUCAGUUAUCUGGUGGCACCCAGUUUUUAUUGGUGGAAGAGAGAACCCAGAUACAAUGUACCUUGGAAGAGACCACCGACCUUCCGAAAGUAAACUGGGAAACUUUCUCACUUACCGGCGCGAGCGGGAUUCGAACCCGCGCCGACAGAGGUGAGAGGCCAUGUGAUUUGGAGCGCGAUGCUCUAACCACUCGGCCACCUUUAUAAAUGAAAUUAAUAUACCAAUAAUAGUCGCUGUUUAUAAUCGGUAAUGUCUUAUUAUCCCCAUCUUUUUUGUAACUUUUCCAUAACUUUUGUCGGGUAUAACUUUUUUGUAACUUUUCCAUAACUUUUGUCGGGUAUAACUUUUAUGUAACUUUCUCCAUAACUUUUGUUGGGUAUAACUUUUUUGUAACUUUUCCAUAACUUUUGUCGGGUAUAACUUUUUUGUAACUUUUCCAUAACUUUUGUCGGGUAUAACUUUUUUGUAACUUUUCCAUAACUUUUGUCGGGUAUAACUUUUAUGUAACUUUCUCCAUAACUUUUGUUGGGUAUAACUUUUUUGUAACUUUUCCAUAACUUUUGUCAGGUAUAACUUUUUUGUAACUUUUCCACAAUUUUUGUUGGGUAUAACUUUUUUGUAACUUUUCCAUAACUUAAGUAUAACUUUUUGAUAACUUUUGUGAAGUAUAACUUUUUUGAAGUAUAACUUUUUGAUAACUUUUAUGCACUUGUUGUAUUCAUGUUGAAAUAAAAGAUGAUAACUUAUA